GCUAAAAAGUAAUUAUAACUUUACCUACAACUUUUAUCAUAUAAUAUUCAUUUCCAGAAAUGAACACGAAGUGACAUUAUUUUCUUUAGCAGAAUUACGUUUGAAAUUUUUAUGACAUCGUUUUUCAUGGAUGUUUAAGAGACGAAACAUUGUUAAGUACCUCCUAAUCAUAAUUUGAAACGAUUAUUCCUGUAAUUUAUUGCGUUGUUAAUGAAAUGAUUACAUCGUUUUUAAGCAUUAGAUAAAAAAUUUAGAUAUAUAUGGGGUGUAAGUGUUAGAUUCGUCAGUGCCACUGUGGAACCAUGAAAUCUUCAAUCUUCGUCAUUUUCACAAUAUUUGCAGUCUUGCAGGUUAUGGUGAAUUCUGCAAGUUGUGUUCAAGAAGAUUCUGAAAGUGAACCAGAGAUGACUACAGAAGGCUCUCCUGAUCAAUCAGAAUCGAAUCAAGAACCACCCAGUGGUGAUGAUCCAAGACAACUGGAUGAAUAACCCCAAUAGCUUAAAAACCAGAAAAACUAAUGAAUUUCGAUUGAAUAAGAAUAAACUUAUGUGAAUACA